UGGGGAAUAUUGGACAAUGGGCGCAAGCCUGAUCCAGCCAUGCCGCGUGUGUGAAGAAGGCCUUCGGGUUGUAAAGCACUUUUGUCCGGAAAGAAAUCCUGUCGGUUAAUACCCGGCGGGGAUGACGGUACCGGAAGAAUAAGCACCGGCUAACUUCGUGCCAGCAGCCGCGGUAAUACGAAGGGUGCAAGCGUUACUCGGAAUUACUGGGCGUAAAGCGUGCGUAGGUGGNCUGUUAAGUCUGAUGUGAAAGCCCUGGGCUCAACCUGGGAACUGCAUUGGAUACUGGCAGUCUGGAGUGCGGUAGAGGGUAGCGGAAUUCCCGGUGUACAGUGAAAUGCGUAGAUAUCGGGAGGAACAUCCGUGGCGAAGGCGGCUACCUGGACCAGCACUGACACUGAGGCACGAAAAGCGUGGGGAGCAAAACAGGAUUAGAUACCCUGGUAGUCCACGCCCUAAAANGAUGCGAACUGGAUGUUGGGAGCAACUAGGCUCUCAGUAUCGAAGCUAACGCGUUAAGUUCGCCGCCUGGGAAGUACGGUCGACAAG
rnacentral:rRNA from 1 species